AAGGCAGCGAGUCGCGAGGAMUYUUGGGCGAGGCGAGGCAAGAUGCGGAAUCACUUGCACAAUGGMGGAAAGUAUGAAGCCGCACGGGUUUGAGAUAGAGAGGCAUKUAUCGAUCACUGUGUGCAGCGUAGACAGAUGAUACACUGCGCGUCUAUAUACSAGGRGAUCAUGACGGUACUURUAAGAAUAAGCACCGGCUAACUCCGUGCCAGCAGCACGCGGUAAU
rnacentral:rRNA from 1 species